rnacentral:rRNA from 1 species
AUGAACGCUGGCGGCGUGCCUAAUACAUGCAAGUCGAGCGCACAGACGAGGAGCUUGCUCCUCUGACGUUAGCGGCGGACGGGUGAGUAACACGUGGAUAACCUACCUAUAAGACUGGGAUAACUUCGGGAAACCGGAGCUAAUACCGGAUAAUAUAUUGAACCGCAUGGUUCAAUAGUGAAAGACGGUUUUGCUGUCACUUAUAGAUGGAUCCGCGCCGCAUUAGCUAGUUGGUAAGGUAACGGCUUACCAAGGCAACGAUGCGUAGCCGACCUGAGAGGGGGAUCGGCCAACCUGGAACUGAGAACCGGUCAAGCCUCCUAGGGGGGGCAGAAGGGGGGAAUCUUCCGAAAUGGGGGAAAGCCUGACGGAGCAACGCCGGGGGGGUGAUGAAGGUUUUCGGAUCGAAAAACUCUUUUUUUAGGGAAAAAAAAAUGUGUAAGUAACUAUGCACGUCUGAAGGGUACCAAAACAAAAAGCCACGGCAAACUACGU